GCACAAGUCCUCUCUCUCUUUUCCUGCCGCCAUCCACCUAAGAUGUGACUUGCUCCUUGCCUUCCACCAUGAUUGUGAGGCCUCCCCAGCCAUGUGGAAAUCAUGUUCCAGAAGGCCAGGGCGGUCGGUUCUGCUGCACAAAUGAGGUCAGAGCAAUCAAGAGAGCCAAGGAAGUCCUACUUAUCUGGAUUAAAUAACUCAAUCUACAAACUACUCAACUUUAAUAUAAGGUGGAAAAUAGGAUUUCAAAAGAAAAGAAGAAGGAGAAGAACAAGGACAAGAAACUGAGUUUUGGCAGAAGGGCUAGAAUACAGUGGUGUGGGCCUACUUCACUGCAGCCUGUAACUCCUGGGCUCAAGUAAUCCUCCCAUCUCAGCCUCUUGAGUAGCUGGGACUACAAGCACAUGCCCAGCUAAAUUUUUUAUUUUGUUGUAUGGACAGGAUCUGCCUAUGCUGACCAGUCAUCCAGGGACCAGGACUAAAGGAGACUGCUGACUUGCAUACACAUCUUCCAAGAACACACUGGGCAUCAACAUCCAACAAGCGAAAAAAGGAAGGAGCAUGUAGGAUGCCAUGGACCUGGUCUAAAAAUGACACACAGUACUUUCUCUAAUAUUCCACUGGCUGGAUUUCAUCUUAAUGGGUAUACCUAACUGCAGGGAAUUCAUACCUAACUGCAGCGAAUUCAUACCUAACUGCAAGGAAUUCAUACCUAACUGCAAGAAGUCAGAGAGAAGCAUAUGACACGUUCAGAAGAAAGGAACUGCCAUAUUGUGGACAAGGUCACAUGGCAGGGAAUGGUGGGCAGCCUCUAGAAGCUAAGAGCAACCCCCAGCUGACAGCCAGCAAGACAUCAGAGACUUCAGUCCUACUGCCCCAGAAACUGAAUUCUGCCAACAACCUGGACGAGCCUGGACAGAAACCUGAGCCCAGAGUGAGAAAUGCAGCCCCAGCCAACACCUGGAUUUCAGCCUGAUGAGACCCUGAGGAGAGAAUCCAGUCAUGUUGCAUCUGGAAUUCUGACCUAGAGAACUGUGAGUUUGUAAAUUUGUGUUGUUUUAAGUUGCUAAGUUUGUGAAAAUUUGUGAUGCAGCAAUAGAAAACUGAUAUCCUGUGCCUGGCGUGGUGGGUCAUGCCUGUAAUCCCAGCACUUUGUGGGGCUGAGGCGGGCAGAUCACAAGGUCAGACGUUCGAGACCAGCCUGGCCAACAUGGCGAAACCUCAUCUCUACUAAAAAUACAAAAAUUAGCCGGGCAUGGUGGCACGCACCUGUAAUCCCAACUACUCAGGAGGCUGAGGCAGGAGAAUCAAUUGAACCUGGGAGGCAGAGGUUGCAGUGAGCCGAGAUUGUGCCACCAUACUCCAUCCUGGGUGACAGAGUGAGACUCCGUCUCAAAAAAAACAAAAACAAACAAACAAAAAAAACUGAUAUCCUGUCCUAUAGUAGGCAUUUAAUAAAUAUAUGUGGAAUGAAUGAAUGAAUGAAUGAAAGAAAUUUUGAUAUGUUACAUGGUAAAGGUAAGAUAAUUAUAAGAAAGGCAAAAUAUGAAACUAUACUUGUGAUUUUAGAACUAAGUUCUGGAUAGUUUUAAUAACCACAUAUCUUGUAUUAUUUAUAUACAUUCAU
rnacentral:lncRNA from 10 species